GAAAACAAGUGCUUGCAUCCUGGGGCCCUCGCACGCACGCGCAGGAGGCCAGGCGCGCUGCUGAUAAGAGCCUGCGGGUUUGCAGAGAAGCGCAGCAGCGCGCAGGUCCUCACCGGAGCUCUGGUGGCCACCUCUGUCCCGCCAUGCUGCUCACUGACAGUGGCCGGGGCCCACAGCACCAAGGGGCUCGGGCCACAAAGUAAAGGUGCAUCCUGUCUGGAGCUUGUGCUGGCCCGGCGAGUGGAGCCCAGAGCCCAUCCCCCACUACCAAUCCCCGGAUUGCUGCCUGCCUGGCCCAGGAGGUGCUGGUCAAGAUGUGUUAGUGAGGGGCUAGACAAGGUGAGCACGUGAGAAGCAGGGGCCAGGGAGCCUGGACCCAGGACCUGGGGGUGCUGUGGCGGCACUGUGGCUGGGCACCUGGGGGCGCUGUGGCGGCACUGUGGCUGGGCACACCCAGCAGCGGCCUAGCUCUGCGUGCCUGUCACCACCUGACCCUCACUGCGGCUGCUGGGCGGCAUGCACCAGGACUGCACGAUGACCCACACCUCCCGUCCUGCCCGCCAGCCUCUAGAUGGGAAUUCCCACAUCCACCCACCCGCCCAUCUGCCAGCUGCCUGCAUGCCUGGCCACAGGGCCGUGUCGCCUGCUGUGGGGCGCACGCUGCUGUUGGCACU
rnacentral:sRNA from 1 species